UGUGUGUGGGGGGGGGGGAUGAGCAGGUGAGCAUGCGUUUUUGUUCAUAUUCAUCUUGUUUUACAUUAACACCAAACCCCAUAUCUCAGCCCCAUUACACACAGCCAUGCGUUUAGAGUGGUGUCGGUUGAAGAUGGGUAGAGACCAGGGUACAGAGAUGUGUAAGAGAGACCAGGGUACAGGGAAGAAACCGUGAGACCAGGGGACAGAGAUGUGUAAGAGAGACCAGGGUACAGGGAAGAAACCGUGAGACCAGGGGACAGAGAUGUGUAAGGGAGACCAGGGGAGAGAUGGUGAGACCAGGGGAGAGACUGUGAGACCAGGGGACAGAGGUGUGUAAGGGAGACCAGGCAACGGGAGAGACGGUGAAGACCAGGAGAGAGACUAUGACACCAGGGGUGAGACCAGGGGACAGGGAGGAAACGGGGCUUUAGUUCAUGAGUGAGGCUCUAGCAGUCUGUGAAACCAGUCUACAGGGAAGAGGUGAAUCGAUGUGGACUCCAUCAGGAGGGGACAGAGUGGUGUGGCCUACUCUGGUGGUAUCAGACAGACGGUACUUUGUAGCUCUGUUAGUAGAGCUUGGUGCUUGCAACAAUAGUGGGUUCGAUCCACGGAUGCACCCGUAUAUAAAAUGUAUGCAUGCAUAACUUUAAGUUUCUUCGGAUAAAAGCGUUUGCUAAAUGGCAUUUGUUCUUCUAUCACAGACAGACAGCACCAUCUAAUCAUGUUCUCUUUCUCUGUAGCUUUGUAUUCUUAGCAGAAAAGCCUGCUGGGACACGUUAGGCAAAUCACUUUUUUCAGCUCACUUGUUCCAGUGUGUGUGUGUGUGUGCGUGUGUGUGUGUGUGCGUGCGUGUGUGUGUGUGUGUGUGUGCGUGUGUGUGUGUUUAUUCCCCCUGCCCUGGGUUACUCAUCCCUCUCUCCCUGAGGAGAAUGGUCCUUCCUUUUAUCUAAUUCUACAAACUCUAGAACUAUAUUAAGAAUCCAGAACUUAAUCUAAAAACUCGAUCUAGAGGCUAUAUCUAGACUCUAUAAUCUGUAUAUCUAGAAGCUAUAACCCAUAUAUAGACUCUAUAAUCCAUAUAUCUAGACUCUCUAACCCAUAUAUAUAUAUAGACUAUAACCUGUAUAUCUAGCCUGUCUAACCGGUCUGUGAAUGGACACCCUGGUUCAGCUCCAGAACAGCCCGUUCCUCAUGGGUCUCUGCCGGAACGGAGCUCCAGUAGACCUGCAGUAUGACAAUUCUUCAGAACUGUUCCGUAUCUCCACCUUCGCCCGGUUUCCGUCAUUGGGGGUAACGGAGCGCAGUCUGGCGAGGGCAGGGUGGUUCUAUACUGGUGUUGGAGACAGGGUGCAGUGUUUCAGGUGUAACGUGACGGCGGAGGGCUGGCAGACAGGGGACUGUCCAACAGAGAGACACAGACAGCUGUCCUCCUCCUGCUCCUUCAUCCAGACCCUCCCCUCCACAGCCAACCUCCUCUCCUCCUCACACUCGGCCUUCUCUCCUCUACGCAGCGCCCCUGUCAUACCGGUGUCAGGCCCUGGCCCAGCCCCCCUCCCUGUCUCCGCCCCUAACCCUGCCCCCAACCCAGUGCCGGGGGAGGAGCCUGUUGGAUAUUUGAAUAUGGGGUUCUCUGCCCCGCCCCCCUCCAGCCCGCUGAGCUCCAGAGGAGUAGAGGACAUGUCCCACCAGAGACCCCCUACCUGUCACAACCCCAGUAUGAGGAGAGAGCAGGACCGUCUGGACUCCUUCCACUCCUGGAUCCUGUCCAUCAUCACCCCCUCUGAGCUGGCUAAGGCUGGCUUCUAUUACCUGGGACAGGGAGACCGCGUGGCCUGCUUCACCUGUGGAGGACAGCUCAGUAACUGGGAGCCAGGUGAUUGAUUAGUGUGAUUGCACCAGUGACAUUACCCCCCUGUCAGCUCAGGAGACCGGGCCGACAACGUCUCCCUAGCCGGGGUGGUUGAGGCACCUCUCAGCCCCCUCUGAAGCUCAGCCCCCUGGGAGCCCCCAGGUGAUUGAUUACGUGUCUAACCCAGCAUGCAGCAGCGUGGGAGCCAGGUGAUUGUCCAUUAGUGUCCCCGUGCGCCCUGACCAGCUGGCCAAGGCAGGGUUCUAUGUUGCAGGGCGUAAUGAUGACGUGAAGUGUUUCUGCUGUGACGGGGGUCUGAGAUGCUGGGAGUCAGGUGACGACCCCUGGGUGGAGCACGCCAAAUGGUUCCCUAGGUGUGUGUACCUGCUCCAGGAGAAAGGUCAGGAGUUUGUCCAUCAGAUCCAGGCUCGCUUCCCUCGCCUCUUUGAACAGCUCCUAACCAAUGGGGACAGCAGCUCCAGAGAGUUUGUGGACCCCCCAGGUGAGGAGCGCUCGGAGGAUGCCGUGAUGAUGAACACUGCGGUGGUUGUGUCGUCACUAGAGAUGGGGUUUGAGCGUGGCCUGGUGAAGCAGACAGUCCAGAGUAAGAUUCUGACCAGUGGAGAGAACUACAAGACGGUCCAGGAACUGGUCUCAGACCUGCUGAGUGCAGAAGAUCAGAAGAGAGAGGAGGAGAGAGAGAUGCUGGCCGAGGAGAUGGCUUCUGACGGGCAUUCAUUCUUAAAGAGACACCAGGCAGCGUUGGUCCAGCGCCUGAAGAGUGUUGAGUCUGUCCUGGAGCACCUGCGAGAGCAGAAUGUCAUCAGUGGAGAGGAAUACAGUGGUCUCCAGGGCCAGUCCUCCCAGCAGCAGACAGCCAAACUGAUAGACUUGGUCUUGACUAAAGGGAACGCAGCAGCUGAGGUCUUCAGGAACUGGAUCCAGAAGAACGAUAUCUACCUGCUCAGAGACCUCAUGGCCCAGGCAAAUGAAGCCGCAUCACCGAGUCAAGAUCUCUCAGACCUGCCGAUGGAAGAGCAGCUACGGCGCCUGCAGGAGGAGCGGACCUGUAAGGUGUGUAUGGACAAGGAGGUGAACAUUGUCUUCAUCCCUUGUGGUCACCUGGUGGUCUGUAAGGAGUGUGCUCCCUCUCUGAGGAAAUGUCCCAUCUGCAGAGGACUGGUCAAGGGCACCGUCCGAACCUUCCUCUCCUAGAAGAACUCCAGGAACCAGGGACCCUCCCUGAGGAAAUGUCCCAUCUGCAGAGGACUGGUCAAGGGCACCGUCCGAACCUUCCUCUCCUAGAAGACCUCCAGGAAACAGGGCCCCUCCCAGCACUGUCAAACUUCUUUGACCUAGUCUCCUAUCUACUCCUAGAGAAUAGCUACCAACAGUCUAUUCUAAGCGUGUCAUUCUCUAUUCCUGGACGGCUGUGUUUGCUGGUUUUUCUGAUCUCCUUUCAUUUCUUGUCCAAUGAAUUCCUAGAGAACCAGGUGAGGGGAGUUCCUAUUUAAUCAAUAAAGACCUAGACAGUCAGGUGAGGGGAGUUGCUAACUAAUCAAUAAAGACCUAGACAGUCAGGUGAUCAAUCAAGUACAAGAGAGUAGUGAAAACCCGCAGACACUCGACCCUCGAGGACUGGAGUUUGACACUAUCCCAUAAGCAACGACUCUACAAUCUCACCGUCUCUAUUUAUAUCGGAAUGUAGCCUGUUAAACCUACCUGCUUAACCAUUAACUAAUAUGUCCCUGUGUAGAUAUACACAUUACAGAACUCUGUAGGAAUGCAUGAGGUUAUAUAAAGGCAUAACUAUAAUUGUCCUAUGUAAUCAGUCCAUUGAUAGAGCAUACAACUACUUCCUGUAGUUGUAGUUUCAACUGGACAGAUGUGUAGUAACCAGUGAAGGCCCCUGCAUCCUGAAUAGCACCCUAUUCCCUAUUUUGGGCACAUUGGGAACUGGUUAAAAGUAGUGCACCAUAUAGCAAAUAAGAUGCCAUUUGGAACGCAGGGCAGCCAGUCAAGGCCCUCGCAUGUAAAGGCUAGGUUGACUAUUCUGCUGUUGAACGUCUCAAAUAAAUGCUAGGUUGACUAUU